AAACGACUCUCGGCAACGGAUAUCUCGGCUCACGCAUCGAUGAAGAACGUAGCAAAAUGCGAUACUUGGUGUGAAUUGCAGAAUCCCGUGAACCAUCGAGUUUUUGAACGCAAGUUGCGCCCGAAGCCNUUNGGUNGAGGGCACGUCUGCCUGGGCGUCACGCA
rnacentral:rRNA from 1 species